rnacentral:rRNA from 1 species
CCCUUAGAUGUUCUGGGCCGCACGCGCGCUACACUGACGAAUGCAACGAGCUUAUAACCUUGGUCGAAAGGUCUGGGUAAUCUCCAAAUUUCGUCGUGAUGGGGAUAGAUUAUUGCAAUUAUUAAUCUUCAACGAGGAAUGCCUAGUAAGCGCAAGUCAUCAGCUUGCGUUGAUUACGUCCCUGCCCUUUGUACACACCGCCCGUCGCUCCUACCGAUUGAAUGUUCCGAUGAACCCUCCGGAGCCGCGGUCUCGCUCGUUUGCGCGGGCUUGGCCGAUGGUGAAGUUGUGUAAAUCUUAACAUUUAGAGGAAGGAGAANUCGUANCA